rnacentral:rRNA from 1 species
GACGAACGCUGGCGGCGUGCCUAAUACAUGCAAGUCGAACGCUUCUUUCCUCCCGAGUGCUUGCACUCAAUUGGAAAGAGGAGUGGCGGACGGGUGAGUAACACGUGGGUAACCUACCCAUCAGAGGGGGAUAACACUUGGAAACAGGUGCUAAUACCGCAUAACAGUUUAUGCCGCAUGGCAUAAGAGUGAAAGGCGCUUUCGGGUGUCGCUGAUGGAUGGACCCGCGGUGCAUUAGCUAGUUGGUGAGGUAACGGCUCACCAAGGCCACGAUGCAUAGCCGACCUGAGAGGGGGAUCGGCCACACUGGGACUGAGACACGGCCCAGACUCCUACGGGAGGCAGCAGUAGGGAAUCUUCGGCAAUGGACGAAAGUCUGACCGAGCAACGCCGCGUGAGUGAAGAAGGUUUUCGGAUCGUAAAACUCUGUUGUUAGAGAAGAACAAGGACGUUAGUAACUGAACGUCCCCUGACGGUAUCUAACCAGAAAGCCACGGCUAACUACGU